UAAUGUUAUAACUCUUUUAGAAUUUGUCUAGCAGGUUUUGGGGUUUUUAACCAUGAAAAAAAUGCCAUU
rnacentral:snRNA from 1 species